rnacentral:rRNA from 1 species
UACUCAGGAGAAGGAACUCGGCAAAUUGACACCGUAACUUCGGAAGAAGGUGUGCCUUUAGUAGGUGAACCUGUACAAGGGGAGCCCAAUGAGGUUGCAAAAAAUCGGUGGCUGCGACUGUUUAAUAAAAACACAGCACUCUGCAAACACGAAAGUGGACGUAUAGGGUGUGACGCCUGCCCGGUGCUGGAAGAUUAAAUGAUGGGGUGCAAGCUCUUGAUUGAAGUCCCAGUAAACGGCGGCCGUAACAAUAACGGUCCUAAGGUAGCGAAAUUCCUUGUCGGGUAAGUUCCGACCUGCACGAAUGGCGUAACGAUGGCCACACUGUCUCCUCCUGAGACUCAGCGAAGUUGAAAUGUUUGUGAUGAUGCAAUCUCCCCGCGGAAAGACGGAAAGACCCCAUGAACCUUUACUGUAGCUUUGUAUUGGGCUUUGAACAGAUCUGUGUAGGAUAGGUGGGAGGCUUUGAAGUGUGGUCGCUAGAUCGCAUGGAGCCAACGUUGAAAUACCACCCUGGUGUGUUUGAGGUUCUAACCUAGGCCCGUAAUCCGGGUCGGGGACAGUGCAUGGUAGGCAGUUUGACUGGGGCGGUCUCCUCCCAAAGCGUAACGGAGGAGUUCGAAGGUACGCUAGGUACGGUCGGACAUCGUGCUAAUAGUGCAAUGGCAUAAGCGUGCUUAACUGCGAGACUGACAAGUCGAGCAGAUGCGAAAGCAGGACAUAGUGAUCCGGUGGUUCUGUAUGGAAGGGCCAUCGCUCAACGGAUAAAAGGUACUCUGGGGAUAACAGGCUGAUACCGCCCAAGAGUUCAUAUCGACGGCGGUGUUUGGCACCUCGAUGUCGGCUCAUCUCAUCCUGGGGCUGUAGCCGGUCCCAAGGGUAUGGCUGUUCGCCAUUUAAAGAGGUACGUGAGCUGGGUUUAAAACGUCGUGAGACAGUUUGGUCCCUAUCUUCCGUGGGCGCUGCAGAUUUGAGGAAGCCUGCUCCUAGUACGAGAGGACCGGAGUGGACACACCUCUGGUGUAUCGGUUGUCACGCCAGUGGCAUUGCCGAGUAGCUAUGUGUGGAAGAGAUAACCGCUGAAAGCAUCUAAGCGGGAAACUCGUUUCAAGAUGAGAUCUGCCGGGGCCUUGAGCCCCCUAAAGAGUCGUUCAAGACCAGGACGUUGAUAGGUCGGGUGUGGAAGCGCAGUAAUGCGUUAAGCUAACCGAUACUAAUUGCUCGUGCGGCUUGACCCC